CCUACGGGCGGCUGCAGUCGAGAAUCUUCGGCAAUGAGCGCAAGCUUGACCGAGCGACGCCGCGUGCGGGAUGAAGGCCUUCGGGUUGUAAACCGCUUUGGUCCGAAAGAAAGGGGAAAACUUGAUCGAUCGGAGAAACAAGGACGGGCUAAGGGCGGGCCAGCAGCCGCGGUAAGACGAACCGUCCAAACGUUAGUCGGAAUCACUGGGCUUAAAGGGCGCGUAGGCGGCCGAGCGGGUCGUGGGUGAAAUCCCCCAGCUUAACUGGGGCACUGCUUACGAUACCACUGCGGCUCGAGGAAGGAAGGGGCAAUUGGAACUGUCGGUGGAGCGGUGAAAUGCGUUGAUAUCGACAGGAACGCCGGUGGCGAAAGCGACUUGCUGGUCCUUUUCUGACGCUGAGGCGCGAAAGCCAGGGGAGCAAACGGGAUUAGAUACCCGAGUAGUC
rnacentral:rRNA from 1 species